GAUGAACGCUGGCGGCGUGCUUAACACAUGCAAGUCGAACGGAAAGGCUCCUGCUUGCAGGGGUACUCGAGUGGCGAACGGGUGAGUAACACGUGGGUGAUCUGCCCUGCACUUCGGGAUAAGCCUGGGAAACUGGGUCUAAUACCGGAUAGGACGAUGGUUUGGAUGCCAUUGUGGAAAGUUUUUUCGGUGUGGGAUGAGCUCGCGGCCUAUCAGCUUGUUGGUGGGGUAAUGGCCUACCAAGGCGUCGACGGGUAGCCGGCCUGAGAGGGUGUACGGCCACAUUGGGACUGAGAUACGGCCCAGACUCCUACGGGAGGCAGCAGUGGGGAAUAUGGCACAAUGGGCGCAAGCCUGAUGCAGCGACGCCGCGUGGGGGAUGACGGCCUUCGGGUUGUAAACUCCUUUCGCUAGGGACGAAGCGCAAGUGACGGUACCUGGAGAAGAAGCACCGGCUAACUACGUG
rnacentral:rRNA from 1 species